UACGUAGGGGGCAAGCGUUAUCCGGAAUCACUGGGCGUAAAGGGUGCGUAGGCGGCCUGACAAGUCAGAGGUGAAAGGCUACGGCUUAACCGUAGUAAGCCUUUGAAACUGGAAGACUAGAGUACGGCAGAGGUUAGUGGAAUUCAAUGUGUAGCGGUAAAAUGCGUUGAUAUAUUGAGGAACACCAGUGGCGAAGGCGGUCUGCUGGAACUCAACUGACGCUGAGGCACGAAAGCGUGGGGAGCAAACA
rnacentral:rRNA from 1 species